CGGGCCCAAAAGUUUGCUGAAUUGUUGCGCGUUGAUUCCGCUUUUGUCGGCGGCGGCAGAGUGCAAGUAGCGAAGAUGGUGGAUUUCGGCUGGUCCACUCUGGAAUGGAAGCAGCACAAAGCACGAGCCUUUCGACCGACACUCUGGUCAGUCUGUGUAUUGUCAAAGUGCUUACAGUGCAGGUAGUUCUAUGCAAUACCUACUGCAGUGGAGGCACUUAAAGCAAUAUGCAGACACGUGUGUACAGUCACCCUCAUCUUGCAUGUCUUUUGCAGAACUGUCUUUGUGCUAAGGUGCAUCUAGUGCAGAUAGUGAAAUAGACUAGCACCUACUGCCCUAAGUGCUCCUUCUGGCAUAAGGGGCUGUGAUAUGCGCCACCAGACCAAUCCUAAUUUCUAAUUGGGCUCAAAUGUCUUGCAGUUCUCUGCUAGUUUUGCAUAGUUGCACUACAAGAAUAGAUGAGUUGUGCAAAUCUAUGCAAAACUGAUGGUGGCCUGCUUGCUCUCCACCUGUUUGGAUUUUUGGUUUUUGGAUGUGGCAUCCACGCAAUCUGAACUCCCGCAUGCUUUAAUGUGCCAAGCGCAACUGCAGAUGUAUUUUCUAGGUGUCCUCGAAGGCCCACGGGUUCAGCAGUGCUAAAGUGCUUAUAGUGCAGGUAGUACUUUUCUCCAAUCUACUGCAAUGUAAGCACUUGAAGUAUUUCUAACUAACAGCCACAUUUUUAAGCGUUCGUAUCCAAUGAUCUUAAAUUAUGCUUCUCAUCACUUGGUCAGUUUUGCUGGUUUGCAUUCAGCUUUAACUGAGGUUUGCUGUGCAAAUCCAUGCAAAACUGACUAGGUGGAUGAAAUAUCGCUUAACAUUUUGAGAUUCCAACUAUACUUGGGUAUGUAUGCAAAUAAACAUGAUUAUGUGUGUAACUGAGAUUUCGGGAGGUGUCCCUUCUUGUGCAGGUGGGGAUGAGUAGCAAUGCUGUAUACUUGGAGGUAUUGCACUUGUCCCGGCCUGUAUAGGAAUGAGGAGGAUAUGGUCGGUCAGACAGAACUGAACUGUGACCCCCACCUGCUGCUCAUUAAUCUGCAAAAACCAAGUCAUGUAAUGUUUUGAUGAAGUCGCCUUGUAUCAUUGUACAAAGAUUUAAGUGCCAUGGUGGUGAUUAUUAUUGUUUUUGUAUUUGCACUCAUGCGAAUAAAAUUACUUGGAACCAU